rnacentral:rRNA from 1 species
UCUGGUGACUAUCGCGGUGGUGUUCACCUCUUCCCAUUCCGAACAGAGAAGUUAAGCCCACCAGCGCCGAUGAUACUGCCUUUAGGUGGGAAAGUAGGUCGUUGCCAAAU